AGAAGAUGCCUCUGAUGAAGACCAUGUUGGCAGGCACAUCUGAGAUUACUGAUGAAGGCCAACUAAGAAACACUAGU
rfam:Otolemur garnettii contig121817, whole genome shotgun sequence.